UCAGAGUUUAGAUUUGUAUCGAAGUUGCUGUGAUAUUGUUUUUGGUUACUGAACUUGAAGUAGAUGUUGAUUUUGUAUAUUAGUUCGUCUUCUCCGAUCUUAGAUGUUUGUCGCGCAGAGUUGAGUCGAAAGGCAAUCGUCGACAGAAGAUUUGGCUUUCUCCGAUAUCAAAGUUGCAUGUUGAUGUUGCUGUGAUUUUUUUUGGUUACUGAACUUGAAGUAGAUGAUGAUUUUGUAUACUAUUUCGUCUUCUCCGAUCUUAGAUGUUUGUCGCGAUCUCAGAGGUGAGUUGAAAGGCAAUCGUCGACAAAAGAUUUGGAUUUAUCAGAUAUCAAAGUUGCAUGUUGUUCGGUUGCUUGAAUUUAGGAGCGGUUAGUGUUAGAUAGACAUAUUUGGUAACUGACGUGUGCGUGAUGUUACCAACUUUAUUAUUGUGUUGUUUUAUUUUUGUAAUUAUGUUUUGUGUGUUUUAUUUUUAUAAUUAUUUUCUAAUUGUUGUAUAUUAGUG
rnacentral:lncRNA from 1 species